rnacentral:rRNA from 1 species
CAAGCCGGCCAUAGCGCCAGGGUGCGACCCAAUCCCAUUCCGAACUUGGAAGUCAAACCUGGUGCCGCCGUCGUGCUACUAAGGUGCGAGAGCUCUUGGGAAGCGGCGGUGCUGGCAUCU